rnacentral:lncRNA from 1 species
UGAUUUAUCAUUGAGAACUAUUGAUCAGGGCUCAAAGCUGAUAUUCAAAAGUAUUAUCUUUGAACCAAAUGAAGAGUCAAAGGUAUUUAACUCAAUUCAAUUACAUACAAACAGAAAAAAUAAAAAGAAAUUAAACCCUUUUUUCCUCUUGUUUGAAAAAGAAAAUUAAAAUACAAAGGCAAUCAUGUAAUCCCAUCAAACAGGGGAAUAAUUACUUUUCAGACCAAAAAAAAAAAAAAAAAAANNN